rnacentral:rRNA from 1 species
AUUGAACGCUGGCGGCAUGCUUUACACAUGCAAGUCGAACGGCAGCGCGUGCUUCGGCCUGGCGGCGAGUGUCGAACGGGUGAGUAAUGCAUCGGAACGUUCCCAGUAGUGUGGGAUAGCCCGGCGAAAGCCGGAUUAAUACCUCAUACGACCUGAGGGUGAAAGCGGGGGACCGAAAGGCCUCGCGCUAUUGGAGCGUCCGAUGUCGGUUUAGCUAGUUGGUGGGGUAAAGGCUUACCAAGGCGACGAUCCGUAGCUGGUCUGAGAGGACGACCAGCCAAACGGGGACUGAGAAAGGGCCAAAACUCCAACGGAAGGAAGAAGGGGGGAAUUUUGGAAAAGGGGGGCAACCCUGAGCAAGACAGGCCGGGGGCGGGAAGAAGGCCUUCGGGUUGAAAACCGCGUUUGUUCGGGAAGAAAGCCUCUGGGCUAAUAGCCAGAGGGGAUGACGGUACCGGAAGAAUAAGCACCGGCUAACUACGUG